GCUAAACGCGAAGAACCUUACCACCUUUUGACAUGCCCGGACCGCCACGGAGACGUGGCUUUCCCUUCGGGGACUGGGACACAGGUGCUGCAUGGCUGUCGUCAGCUCGUGUCGUGAGAUGUUGGGUUAAGUCCCGCAACGAGCGCAACCCUCGCCAUUAGUUGCCAUCAUUUAGUUGGGAACUCUAAUGGGACUGCCGGUGCUAAGCCGGAGGAAGGUGGGGAUGACGUCAAGUCCUCAUGGCCCUUACAGGGUGGGCUACACACGUGCUACAAUGGCGACUACAGAGGGUUAAUCCUUAAAAGUCGUCUCAGUUCGGAUUGUCCUCUGCAACUCGAGGGCAUGAAGUUGGAAUCGCUAGUAAUCGCGAAUCAGAAUGUCGCGGUGAAUACGUUCCCGGGUCUUGUACACACCG
rnacentral:rRNA from 1 species